GAUCGCAUGGCUUAGAUGGCAAAGCGCGUGCCUAAUAAGCAGGAGAUCACGAGUUCGAGUCUCGUUGGGACCU
rnacentral:tRNA from 1 species